rnacentral:lncRNA from 1 species
AAUUCUUUAACCAAUCCAUGUAUAUAUCAUAAAUUUAGUCUUCUAUGCACGAUUUUAUCAUUUUUUUAUGCAAAAAUAUCAUAUUAUCAUCAUUUUUUUUCUCUCUGUCUGUUAUGAAGUGAAAAUAUGGCAGCUCAUCAAUUGUCGUGUUUUGAAGCCAUAGUUUACCGAUUGUCACCUUGUAGUAAACAAUCAACAAAGAAGCAUAUUAAGCACGUGUAUAACAUGUACAAUCAGGUAAUAGUUUAUGUCAGUGUCAGAUCCAUGCAUAUUGCGAUCACUGGAUUUUUACGAGAAGGGUAACGCUAAGGUCACUUUGAAUAAGGAAAUUAUGUAGGCGAAUUGAAUCCUUGCAGCAAGCCAUUAGAAAAAAAGUAAACUUCUUCUUAAUGUGUUUUCUUCAGAAAAAAGUAUAUGCACAUAAGUUUAAUAAUGACAACUAUCCAUUUUGUUAAUUUUUUUUAUGAUGAUUUAUUUGUUAAAUUUUUA